AAUCUCAGUUCAGACUGCAGGCUGCAACUCGCCUGCACGAAGUCGGAAUUGCUAGUAAUCGUAGGUCAGCAUACUACGGUGAAUACGUUCCCGGGCCUUGUACACACCGCCCGUCAAACCAUGAGAGUUGGCAACACCCGAAGUCGGUAGUCUAACCGCAAGGAGGACGCCGCCGAAGGUGGGGUUGAUGACUGGGGUGAAGUCGUAACAAGGUAUC
rnacentral:rRNA from 1 species